GCCUUAACAAAGAACAAACGACAUAAUGUAGGUAUGGUACUCGCUAUAACCUUUAAUUCUAUAUAAUACAUAAAUGUAUGUAUCAAAUACAAACAGAAUAACAAUAAUAUCAUAAUUCCAAAUACAAAUUCACAUUUAAUCAUCCGUGAAUACACGUGUCUUCUUUAGGCUAUAGCGAGAGUCGAUGGUCAGAAAGGUGACCGCACGGGUUUUA
rnacentral:lncRNA from 1 species